rnacentral:rRNA from 1 species
GCGACCUCAGCUCAGGCGGGA